rnacentral:rRNA from 1 species
CAGCCGCCGCGGUAAUACCAGCACCUCGAGUGGUCAGGAGGUUUAUUGGGCCUAAAGCAUCCGUAGCCGGCUGCUCAAGUUUCCGGUUAAAUCCACACGCUUAACGUAUGGGCUGCCGGAAAUACUGUUCAGCUAGGGAGUGGGAGAGGUAGACGGUACUCGAUAGGAAGGGGUAAAAUCCUUUGAUCUAUUGAUGACCACCUGUGGCGAAGGCGGUCUACCAGAACACGUUCGACGGUGAGGGAUGAAAGCUGGGGGAGCAAACCGGAUUAGGUACCCGGGUAGUCCCAGCUGUAAACGAUGCAGACUCGGUGAUGCAUUGGCUUAUGGCCAGUGCAGUGCCGCAGGGAAGCCGUUAAGUUUGCCGCCUGGGAAGUACGUACGCAAGUAUGAAACUUAAAGGAAUUGGCGGGGGAGCAC